rnacentral:rRNA from 1 species
ACGAACGCUGGCGGCGUGCUUAACACCUGCAAGUCGAACGGAAAGGCCCCUUUGGGGGUACUCGAGUGGCGAACGGGUGAGUAACACGUGAGUAACCUGCCCUUGACUUCGGGAUAACUUCAGGAAACUGGGGCUAAUACCGGAUAGGAAUCCUUGCUGCAUGGUGGGGGUUGGAAAGCUUCGGCGGUUUUGGGUGGGCUCGCGGCUUAUCAGCUUGUUGGUGGGGUAGUGGCUUACCAAGGCUUUGACGGGUAGCCGGCCUGAGAGGGCGACCGGCCACAUUGGGACUGAGAUACGGCCCAGACUCCUACGGGAGGCAGCAGUGGGGAAUAUUGCACAAUGGGCGGAAGCCUGAUGCAGCAACGCCGCGUGCGGGAUGACGGCCUUCGGGUUGUAAACCGCUUUCAGCAGGGGCGAAGCUUGUGGUGACGGUACCUGCAGAAGAAGCACCGGCUAACUACGUG